GUCCCGCCCGAGCCGGCCACUGGCGGUUGGAAACAGGCCCCAGGCUAGCCUCUGCUGUAUCCGAGGCGCUGAUCCCUGCACCUAAAGGUUCCCACACACUGAUAAACUCAGUGUCCUCCAGGCUAUCGGUGACAAGGAGGUAAACUACACUGCGUCUUCAGUGAUGAAAAGGCAGAUGGUGGUGCUGAGGGAGCAGAUAAAAGUCUCUAGGAUUUCCAUGGCAAGACUUUAAAAAUCAGCUGAGUACAAGAAGGAUGUGCCUGCCUAGCUGCCUCUAUUCGGAACCAUUGCUGUAUUGCAGAAGAUAGAGAGUCAGGAGCUGAUCUCAAGAACUUGACCGCCAGUGGGAUUGGAGCUGCCAGUCACCAAAAGAACAAAAUUUCCAGGGGGAGUGGAGAAGGAAAAAAGGCAGCAAGGUACCAUGUCCAGUGGAAAAAGGACAAGGUAGCAUAUCUGGGAGAGAACGGGGACCAGGGAAUAGGGAAGCAUGUACAAGGAAGCAAAGGUAGGAGUAUGGGACACAGAGAGAGGGAGGAUUAAGAGACUCCAGGAGUACUUUUUUUUUUUUUUUUACCUUGUCA